rnacentral:rRNA from 1 species
AAGACGCUGGCGGCGUGCUCACACAUGCAGUCGAACGGGAUUAGGGGCUUGCUCCUAAUCUAGUGGCGCACGGGUGAGUACGCGUGGAUACCUACCCUGGUAUCUGGGAUAACAUCUCGAAAGGGGUGCUAAUACCGGAUAAGCCCACGGGAACUUUGGUUCUUGCGGGAAAAGAUGGCCUCUAUUUAUAAGCUAUCGUAUCAGGAUGGGUCCGCGUACCAUUAGCUAGUUGGUGGUGUAAUGGACCACCAAGGCGACGAUGGUUAGCUGGUCUGAGAGGAUGAUCAGCCACACUGGAACUGAGACACGGUCCAGACUCCUACGGGAGGCAGCAGUGGGGAAUCUUGCACAAUGGGGGAAACCCUGAUGCAGCGACGCCGCGUGAGCGAUGAAGCCCUUCGGGGUGUAAAGCUCUUUCGGCAGGGACGAAACAUGACGGUACCUGCAGAAGCAGCUGCGGCUAACUAC